rnacentral:rRNA from 1 species
AUUGAACGCUGGCGGCAGGCCUAACACAUGCAAGUCGAACGGUAACAGGAAGCAGCUUGCUGCUUUGCUGACGAGUGGCGGACGGGUGAGUAAUGUCUGGGAAACUGCCCGAUGGAGGGGGAUAACUACUGGAAACGGUAGCUAAUACCGCAUAACGUCGCAAGACCAAAGAGGGGGACCUUAGGGCCUCUUGCCAUCGGAUGUGCCCAGAUGGGAUUAGCUAGUAGGUGGGGUAACGGCUCACCUAGGCGGCGAUCCCUAGCUGGUCUGAGAGGAUGACCAGCCACACUGGAACUGAGACACGGUCCAGACUCCUACGGGAGGCCGCAGUGGGGAAUAUUGCACAAUGGGCGCAAGCCUGAUGCAGCCAUGCCGCGUGUAUGAAGAAGGCCUUCGGGUUGUAAAGUACUUUCAGCGGGGAGGAAGGGAGUAAAGUUAAUACCUUUGCUCAUUGACGUUACCCGCAGAAGAAGCACCGGCUAACUCCGUG